rnacentral:piRNA from 1 species
UGGGAUAUGUUGUCUUUUAAUGAGCCGUUU